ensembl:lncRNA
CAAUUGAUCGAUUGCAGUCACGUGACUUCACGCGAGCGUCCGCCAUAUUGGAGGUCAAAUUUCAAGAUGGGAAAAUCGUUCGCGCAAAGUUACGUCGAAUCGCUUACAAAAGAAGUUUGUGAUAGUUAUAUAACAAAGCUCAAGAAGCUGAACAUUAGUAAAUGUCCUUCUGAGGACAAAGAGUUCGUUGAUGAGCCAAAAACGUGGCCAGUUGUGGAAUGGUGACAUUUAUUCCUAUUUCGUGUGCACAACGUCGCAUUACACCAAUGAAAAUAUGAAGGCCUACAAGAGUCUCGAGGCUUACAACUAUUUUGCAAGCGGUUGGGUGCGAGAUAUUUUUUGUGAAGAAGUUGUCCACGGAUUCAUUUCUAUUGAAAGCCAAAGUCAACCCUUCCCAACGCUCUCCAGACAAGCCACAUGAGGCCUGGGUGAACACACAGAAUGAUGGGACUGUGGUCAAUGGUCACUGCACCUGCAUGGCUGGGUAAGUGAAUCAACAUUGAAUAAACUUGCUUGGUCAUAUCAGUGAUAAUUGUAGACAGUUUACUAAUCAGUCUACUUUAGAUGCACACAAUGACACUUGUGAAUAAUUUAGAUUUUUGUUUGUUUUUACAGCUUGGGUAGCAUGUGUUCCCAUGUCGCAGCCAUCCUCUUCAAAGUGGAGGCAUGUCACCGUACUGGCUUGACUACAGAUGCAUGUACAUCACAACUCUGUAAAUGGAACAAGACAUUUGUGAAGAAGAUUAAAUCUGGGCCAGUCGUUGAUAUGGAUUUUUUCCAAGCCAAAUCACAACAAAACAACACGGACAGUCGAGCCUCAGCCUACCAAAGAGAUCAAGGAGCCAAAUCACAGUGAUUUUAUUGCAUUCCUUGCUGAUGUGCAAAAGGUAAACCCCACCACCGUCUUACUCAGUGUAGUGCCAGAGUUUUCUACAGCCACAGAGGAACCAACCCCUCUACACAUGCCCAUACCUCUUACUACACUACUAUACAAACCCGAGUAUAGAACCAUGUCAACACCAGACUUUCAAAGAGAAGUUGAUAAAGUGUUCCUCAGCCUUAAGUCUUCUUGCUGUGCUCAGAUAACUGAAUCUGAAAGUGCUGGUCUGGAGAUGCACCAGAAGACAGCAGUUGAGUGAUGACUGGCUGGAACAGAGAAAGGGGAGGAUAACAGCUUCAACGCUAUUCCGUGUUCUCCACACUGACCCCACAUCACCUGCUCCCUCCCUUGUCAAAAGUAUAUGUGGGCUGUCAUCAUUUACUUCCAAAGCCACUGCACAUGGGAUUAAGUUUGAAAAGAAGGCCCGUAAGAUGUAUGUGAAAGAGAAAUCAACUCAACACACCAAAUUCAGGUACUCAUCCUCUGGGUUGAUCGUUAACCCUUUGUACCCACAUCUCGGGGCUAGUCCCGAUGGUAUCAUCAGCUGCAGCUGUUGCAGCGAAAAGGGUCUGCUGGAGGUGAAAUGCCCCUAUAAGCACAGGAUGGUCCACCCAGUGGAAGCUAGCCAGAUUGACCCAGAUUUCCCCAUUGAAUUUGAAGUUGGAAAUGGUGAGAUCAUUGGCUCAUCCCUCAAACAAAACCACCCCCACUACACCCAGAUCCAGUGUCAGCUGUCUAUUUGUGAAAAGAGUUACUGUGACUUGAUGAUGUUCACCUUCCGUGGUAGCAUAGUUACCAGAGUGUAUAGAGAAGACAAUUUUAUUCCAAAGCAUUUGGACAGGAUAAAUGCUGUAUACAAAUCUGGAAUACUUCCAGAACUUAUGACACGCCAAUAUAGAGAUGUGAUAUGUGACCCCUGUGGCCCAUCAUCCGGUACCUCGUCCAGCUCAACAUCCAGCUCUACUCCAGCCACUCAAAGGGCACCUCUCUCAACUAAUGUUCCCCAACAAGCACCCACUGAAGCUGCACAAGAAUUGUUUUGUUAUUGCAGGAAACCAGAUGAUGGUUCCCGAAGAAAUGGUUGGGUGUGAUUACCAAAACUGUGUGAACCAGUGGUACCAUUUGAGCUGCCUUACAUUAUCAAAAGCCCCCAAGACCAAACUUUGGUUUUGCCCAGAGUGUAAGAGUUUGCAACCGCCUAAGAAAAAGAGGAAGUGAUUUUGUUAGUUUGUUAUAUUUGGCAUAUUGUAUCAUAUCUCUUGUUGUCAGUAAUUUCCUCUGAAGUUUGCAUUUAGUAUGUAUGUAUAUAAUCAUCAAUAUGUCGAAAUGGCUAUUGUUUGCUCUUUCAAGUGUGUGGUCACUGUACAUAUGUUUGAAGGAAUUAAUUGUAUACUCAAUGUAUAUUGUAUUCUGUGUUGUGUAUGUUUAUUGUGUAGGUGUAAUCAUUCCAGGUCGUGUAAUAUGUAAUUUCUCAAUAACUAUGUAUUGGAAUUAAUAAAUCAUUUUUGCUGUUAUAUACAUUUUUAUUUGAUUCAAUACAUCAGUAUAACAAUAAUAUCAUGGGCAAUGAUACCAGAUAGUUCAGAACAUAGUAUUUACAUAUUCACACAUAUCUAGCCAGACUCUGUUGCGGGCAAUACACGUCCAAUACACAACGAGUCGACCUCCAAAAUGGCCGCCGAAGUCACGCGUGACGUCACAUGCAAUCGAUCAAUACAGUUCGACAGCUCUUUAAUCCACAUAGCCAGUGUUGG